rnacentral:rRNA from 1 species
GAUGAACGCUGACAGAAUGCUUAACACAUGCAAGUCUACUUGAUCCUUCGGGUGAUGGUGGCGGGAACGGCCACAAGGGGACUGAGACACGGCCCUUACUCCUACGGGAGGCAGCAGUGGGGAAUAUUGGACAAUGGACCAAAAGUCUGAUCCAGCAAUUCUGUGUGCACGAUGAAGUUUUUCGGAAUGUAAAGUGCUUUCAGUUGGGACGAAGUAAGUGACGGUACCAACAGAAGAAGCGACGGCUAAAUACGUGCCAGCAGCCGCUGUAAC